UGCUUGGAGGACUAGUGGUUAGGCCUCGGUGCUCUCACUGCCGUGGCCCGGGUUCGAUUCCCAGCCAGGGAA
rnacentral:tRNA from 1 species